rnacentral:lncRNA from 1 species
AAAAUAGCAAUUUUCUAAUUCUAAUACUAUGCCAGAAGGCAAUGGUAAGAAGUGUGUCCCUACAGCUAAUGCAGCAACUCUUGCUUCAUUCCCCACGCGUAGGUCAACUUCUCUUUUCUAUAGUGAUCUAAUUUUCUUUAGUCCCUAUAUAUUUAUACAAAUAUGAAAUCCAUAUCCGGUAUCUAAUACCCAAGAAGCUAAUGAAGUAGACAUAUUAACCUCGAUAAAAAAAAUACCUGAAGUAGAAGCUUCAAAAAGACUUCUUUCUCUUCAAGCUUGCAAGGUAAGCUUUGCAAUUCCUCUUCCAAUGACUUUUCACUCCAUAGUGAUAGCACGGGUCAUCAGACUUAGUAUUGUCUUUACCUGCUUUGACUACUUUGUUAUUGCUUUAGCCUUCUUGAAUGUUCUCUUAAAACUUUCUUUGGUCUUCCUCUUAGUGCCCUUGGAGGAUUGAAUGACUAAGAAAUGCCCAGUAAUAGCCUUAAUGUUGGGCUCGACAGUCUUAAGCAUAUUAAGCAAUUCAGGAAAUUUGCAUUCAAUCUUAUUCAUGUUAAAGUUCAUGAUGAACUAAGAAUAACUCUCUAGCUGAGAUUGUAGGACUAAAUCAAUACUUAGUUUGUGAUCCAUGAUAAAACCCAUUUGGGCCAAUUUCUCAAUAAACCCAAUCAUCUUCAGUACAUGAGCAUUGAUUGAAGAUUCUUCUGCCAUUUUGCACCGGUACAGUUGCUUGGAAGUCUCAUAUCUC